GUUUCUAACACAGCUUCACAGCAUGCACACUUGCAGACUCACUGCGAUUUUCACAAGGACCACCAACAGUCAAGCUGCGUGAUGAAGACAGACGUUCUUCAGGUAGGCUGCUACCUUCAUUAAUAUCUCCAUAAGAUCACAAUAUACGAAAACUUCUAUAGGAGGUGAGUGUCAAAGCCUCCUCCACGCAAGAACAGCACAUCAUGAUAAAAGAAAGUAUCCUGACAAGUAAAGGAUGAAAGAAGGCAGCUAGAGCCAACCUGACUUCCUCAAAGGUGAAGAAAAUCACCAUGAACAUCUGGAUUCUACUUAUACUUAUAAAAGUGUUCCUUCACACCACUUGUCUUUGGAAAAAUAAUGCAAAAAUAUAAGGGAACUAAGCAACUGGCCCAAGAUCAUGUAGCUUUAAGAAUGACGCUGAGAUCUGAAACCUCGCUGAUUUACAGUUUCAUUUUCAUUGCUGCUUGAAAUAUAUUAAUAAGAUUAUAAAAUUGUACAGCA